rnacentral:rRNA from 1 species
AACGCGAAGAACCUUACCAGGUUCUUGACAUCCUUUUGAAUACAUUAGAGAUAGUGUAGGCCUUCGGGACAAGAGAGACAGGUGGUGCAUGGUUGUCGUCAGCUCGUGUCGUGAGAUGUUGGGUUAAGUCCCGCAACGAGCGCAACCCUUGAUUUUAGUUGCCAGCAUUCGGUUGGGCACUCUAGAAUGACUGCCGGUGACAAACCGGAGGAAGGUGGGGAUGACGUCAAAUCAUCAUGCCCCUUAUGACCUGGGCUACACACGUACUACAAUGGCCGGUACAACGGGGUGCAAUACCGCGAGGUGGAGCGAAUCCUUAAAAGCCGGUCUCAGUUCGGAUUGCAGGCUGCAACUCGCCUGCAUGAAGUCGGAAUUGCUAGUAAUCGCGGAUCAACAUGCCGCGGUGAAUACGUUCCCGGGCCUUGUACACACCG